rnacentral:lncRNA from 1 species
GUUCAGGCUCCUUUCUCUUGGUUCUUGUGGAAGAACUUCCCACUGCCUGCUGACCCUAUGCAGAUCUUCAGCUUUGUACUUCAUGAGAGGUAUAAAGACCAGAGAUGUUUAUCUAGACUUUUUGCUUUUCAGAAAAAAAGCACUUUUUCCCUGCUGUCUGAACUACACACAAAAGAUGUUCAGGAAAGACAAAUUCAACUAAAAGCAAAGCUACUACUUACACACAUCUCCAGAUCUCAAGUUGAAUUGGCACUGUUGGCUAUGAGCUUGUCAACUGACUUCAUCAGUCAGAACCUUCCACAGAGCGCAGAAAGCAAUGACAGACCAUGGGCUCA